AUUGAACGCUGGCGGCAGGCUUAACACAUGCAAGUCGAGCGGAGUGAUGGUGCUUGCACUAUCACUUAGCGGCGGACGGGUGAGUAAUGCUUAGGAAUCUGCCUAUUAGUGGGGGACAACAUCUCGAAAGGGAUGCUAAUACCGCAUACGUCCUACGGGAGAAAGCAGGGGAUCUUCGGACCUUGCGCUAAUAGAUGAGCCUAAGUCGGAUUAGCUAGUUGGUGGGGUAAAGGCCUACCAAGGCGACGAUCUGUAGCGGGUCUGAGAGGAUGAUCCGCCACACUGGGACUUAAACACGGCCCAGACUCCUACGGGAGGCAGCAGUGGGGAAUAUUGGACAAUGGGCGCAAGCCUGAUCCAGCCAUGCCGCGUGUGUGAAGAAGGCCUUAUGGUUGUACAGCACUUUAAGCGAGGAGGAGGCUACUUUAGUUAAUACCCAAGAUGAGUGGACGUUACUCGCAGAAUAAGCACCGGCUAACUCUGUGCCAGCAGCCGCUGUAA
rnacentral:rRNA from 1 species